GCCCCAAAAUGGGGGUUUUCAGCCCAAAAAUGGGGGUUUGAACCCAAAAAUGGGGGUUUUCAGCCCAAAAAUGGGGGUUUUGACCCAAAAAUGGGUGUUUUCAGCCCAAAAAUGGGGGUUUGAACCCAAAAAUGGGGAGUUUGGAUCCAAAAAUGGGGGUUUGAACCCAAAAAUGGGGGGUUUCAACCCAAAAAUGGGGGGUUUGGACCCAAAAAUGGGGGGUUUGGACUUAAAAAUGGGGAGUUUCAAUGCAGAAAUGGGGGGUUUGAACCCAAAACUGGGGAGUUUGAACCCAAAAAUGGGUGUUUUCAGCCCAAAAAUGGGGGUUUGAACCCAAAAAUGGGGGUUUUCAGCCCAAAAAUGGGGGGUUUCAGCCCAAAAAUGGGUGUUUGAACCCAAAAGUGGGGAGUUUGGACCCCAAAAUGGGGUUUUUCAGCCCAAAAAUGGGGGGUUUCAAUGCAGAAAUGGGGGGUUUGAACCCAAAAAUGGGGGUUUUCAGCCAAAAAUGGGGGGUAUGGACCUUAAAAUGGGGGUUUUCAGCCCAAAAAUGGGGAUUUACAGCCCAAAAAUGGGGGGUUUGGACCCAAAAAUGGGGGGUUUGGACCCAAAAAUGGGGAUUUUCAGCCCAAAAAAUGGGGAGUUUGGACCCAAAAAUGGGGGUUUGACCCAAAAAUGGGGGUUUUCAGCCCCAAAAAUGGGGAGUUUGAACCCAAAAAUGGGGGAUUUGAAGCUCAAAAUGGGCGUUUACAGCCCAAAAAUGGGGAGUUUGGACCUAAAAAUGGGGG
rnacentral:lncRNA from 1 species